rnacentral:sRNA from 1 species
UCGAUUAAGGUUCGACUUGAGCGAAAGCGAGAGAACGUUGCCAACGGCAACGGCCCGUAGGGUGAGGAGCGAAGCGACGAAUAAUCCUUCCCCCACCACCA